rnacentral:rRNA from 1 species
UAAGGGCGCACGGUGGAUGCCUUGGCACUAGAAGCCGAUGAAGGACGUUACUAACGACGAUAUGCUUUGGGGAGCUGUAAGUAAGCUUUGAUCCAGAGAUUUCCGAAUGGGGAAACCCAGCAUGAGUUAUGUCAUGUUAUCGAUAUGUGAAUACAUAGCAUAUCAGAAGGCACACCCGGAGAACUGAAACAUCUUAGUACCCGGAGGAAGAGAAAGAAAAUUCGAUUCCCUUAGUAGCGGCGAGCGAAACGGGAAGAGCCCAAACCAACAAGCUUGCUUGUUGGGGUUGUAGGACACUCUAUACGGAGUUACAAAGGACGACAUUAGACGAAUCAUCUGGAAAGAUGAAUCAAAGAAGGUAAUAAUCCUGUAGUCGAAAAUGUUGUCUCUCUUGAGUGGAUCCUGAGUACGACGGAGCACGUGAAAUUCCGUCGGAAUCUGGGAGGACCAUCUCCUAAGGCUAAAUACUCUCUAGUGACCGAUAGUGAACCAGUACCGUGAGGGAAAGGUGAAAAGCACCCCGGAAGGGGAGUGAAAUAGAACCUGAAACCGUGUGCUUACAAGUAGUCAGAGCCCGUUAAUGGGUGAUGGCGUGCCUUUUGUAGAAUGAACCGGCGAGUUACGAUUUGAUGCAAGGUUAAGCAGUAAAUGUGGAGCCGUAGCGAAAGCGAGUCUGAAUAGGGCGUUUAGUAUUUGGUCGUAGACCCGAAACCAGGUGAUCUACCCUUGGUCAGGUUGAAGUUCAGGUAACACUGAAUGGAGGACCGAACCGACUUACGUUGAAAAGUGAGCGGAUGAACUGAGGGUAGCGGAGAAAUUCCAAUCGAACCUGGAGAUAGCUGGUUCUCUCCGAAAUAGCUUUAGGGCUAGCCUCAAGUGAUGAUUAUUGGAGGUAGAGCACUGUUUGGACGAGGGGCCCCUCUCGGGUUACCGAAUUCAGACAAACUCCGAAUGCCAAUUAAUUUAACUUGGGAGUCAGAACAUGGGUGAUAAGGUCCGUGUUCGAAAGGGAAACAGCCCAGACCACCAGCUAAGGUCCCAAAAUAUAUGUUAAGUGGAAAAGGAUGUGGCGUUGCCCAGACAACUAGGAUGUUGGCUUAGAAGCAGCCAUCAUUUAAAGAGUGCGUAAUAGCUCACUAGUCGAGUGACACUGCGCCGAAAAUGUACCGGGGCUAAACAUAUUACCGAAGCUGUGGAUUGUCCUUUGGACAAUGGUAGGAGAGCGUUCUAAGGGCGUUGAAGCAUGAUCGUAAGGACAUGUGGAGCGCUUAGAAGUGAGAAUGCCGGUGUGAGUAGCGAAAGACGGGCGAGAAUCCCGUCCACCGAUUGACUAAGGUUUCCAGAGGAAGGCUCGUCCGCUCUGGGUUAGUCGGGUCCUAAGCUGAGGCCGACAGGCGUAGGCGAUGGAUAACAGGUUGAUAUUCCUGUACCACCUAUAAUCGUUUUAAUCGAUGGGGGGACGCAGUAGGAUAGGCGAAGCGUGCGAUUGGAUUGCACGUCUAAGCAGUAAGGCUGAGUAUUAGGCAAAUCCGGUACUCGUUAAGGCUGAGC